GCAUCCUGGGAGCUGUCCAUAUUGGUUUGUUACCGGUGGUUGGCUCUUUGCUUUUGCAACAACUUCCACCUGGCAUUCCUCUUCAGUCUUGCGUCAAGGUUGCAUUUCCUUGAGCGCUUUUGGUUUCCUGUGUUGCCUACCAUUGUGACGGUAACGGUUGAUUACAUCAAAGUCUUUGUUCAUCAUGGGUCAUUUGUAUGGCGUAGGAUGAACCUCAAAGCAGCUUCUAUGGUCCACCUUCUUGAUGCACAUGCAUAGAUGUUGUGGCUCAUUGAGUUCCGCUAGGUUUUCUGAAUAUAGAACAUGAUAUGGGUGUGGGUCUUUUGGGAUCCUUGUUUUGCCCUUGUUGAACGCUGUUGUUACUCUUAGAUGUGACUGCCUAUCCUGAAUUGGCUCGUACCACCGGGGUAGGUAAUUUGUUGAAGGUUAAUAAUAGCGUUCUUGCUUCUCUAAGACCGACGGCCUCGCCUGUAUUGGUUCUUACCAGCAGGCGGGUGAUGUCAAAGAGGGAUGCUACCUGGUUGAUCCUGCCAGUAGUCAUAUGCUUGUCUCAA
rnacentral:misc_RNA from 1 species